rnacentral:rRNA from 1 species
AGCUCCAAUAGCGUAUAUUAAAGUUGUUGCAGUUAAAAAGCUCGAAGUUGGAUCUCGGGAGCCAGUGGGCGGUUCACCUUGCAGUGACUACUGCCCGCUGCGACCCUACCUGCUGGUCCACCAUGUGUGCCCUUGGUUGGUUGCAUGCGGAGGCCGGGACGUUAACUUUGAAAAAUGAGAGUGCUCAAAGCAGGCGUCUCGCCUGAAUAAUGCUGCAUGGAAUAAUGAAAUAGGACUUCGGUUCUAUUUUGUUGGUUUUCUGAACCAGAGGUAAUGAUUAAGAGGGACAGACGGGGCAUUUGUUUAACGGCGUUAGAGGUGAAAUUCAUUGAUCGCCGUAAAACGAAAGACUGCAAAAGCAUUUGCCAAGAAUGUUUUCA